rnacentral:rRNA from 1 species
AUUGAACGCUGGCGGCAUGCUUUACACAUGCAAGUCGAACGGUAACAGGUUAAGCUGACGAGUGGCGAACGGGUGAGUAAUGCAUCGGAACGUGCCCGAUCGUGGGGGAUAACGCAGCGAAAGCUGCGCUAAUACCGCAUACGAUCUGAGGAUGAAAGCGGGGGACCGUAAGGCCUCGCGCGAUCGGAGCGGCCGAUGUCAGAUUAGGUAGUUGGUGGGGUAAAGGCUCACCAAGCCAACGAUCUGUAGCUGGUCUGAGAGGACGACCAGCCACACUGGGACGGGGACACGGGCCAGACUCCUUCGGGAGGCAGCAGGGGGGAAUUUUGGACAAUGGGCGAAAGCCUGAGCCAGCAAUGCCGCGUGCAGGAAGAUGGCCUUCGGGUUGUAAACUGCUUUUGUACGGAGCGAAAAGGUCUCCUCUAAUACAGCGAGCUCAUGACGGUACCGUAAGAAUAAGCACCGGCUAACUACGUGCCAGCCGCCGCGGUAA